rnacentral:rRNA from 1 species
GAUGAACGCUAGCGGCAGGCCUAAUACAUGCAAGUCGAACGGUGUCUUCGGACAUAGUGGCGCACGGGUGCGUAACACGUAUGCAACCUACCUUACAUUGGGGGAUAGCCUUUCGAAAGGGAGAUUAAUACCGCAUAAGACAGUAGCUGGGCAUCCAGCGGCUGUUAAAGAUUUAUCGAUGUAAGCUGGGCAUGCGUCCAAUUAGCUAGUUGGUGAGGUAACGGCUCACCAAGGCAAUGAUUGGUAGGGGAACUGAGAGGUCAAUCCCCCACACUGGCCCUGAGAUACGGGCCAGACUCCUACGGGAGGCAGCAGUAGGGAAUAUUGGGCGAUGGACGCAAGUCUGACCCAGCCAUGCCGCGUGCAGGAUGAAGGCGUUAUGCGUUGUAAACUGCUUUUAUACAGGAAGAAACGACUCUUGCGAGAGGCAUUGACGGUACUGUAUGAAUGAGCACCGGCUAACUCCGUGCCAGCCGCCGCGGUAAGAC